rnacentral:rRNA from 1 species
UGGGGAAUUUUGGACAAUGGGCGAAAGCCUGAUCCAGCAAUGCCGCGUGUGUGAAGAAGGCCUUCGGGUUGUAAAGCACUUUUGUCCGGAAAGAAAUCCUUGGCUCUAAUACAGUCGGGGGAUGACGGUACCGGAAGAAUAAGCACCGGCUAACUACGUGCCAGCAGCCGCGGUAAUACGUAGGGUGCAAGCGUUAAUCGGAAUUACUGGGCGUAAAGCGUGCGCAGGCGGUUUGCUAAGACCGAUGUGAAAUCCCCGGGCUCAACCUGGGAACUGCAUUGGUGACUGGCAGGCUAGAGUAUGGCAGAGGGGGGUAGAAUUCCACGUGUAGCAGUGAAAUGCGUAGAGAUGUGGAGGAAUACCGAUGGCGAAGGCAGCCCCCUGGGCCAAUACUGACGCUCAUGCACGAAAAGCGUGGGGAGCAAAACAGGAUUAGAUACCCUGGUAGUCCACGCCCUAAAACGAUGUCAACUAGUUGUUGGGGAUUCAUUUCCUUAGUAACGUAGCUAACGCGU